AAUAUUUAUUUUAUUCUAAGAGCUUUUUAAAAAUUUCCAGUGUCUGGUAUAUUUGUAUGUUAUGUGAUCAUUGGAAAUGAAAAUUAAAAAUAUUCCAGCUCAGUAGUCAAUAAUAAAUUAUGAAAAUUUUUAGGAAAAAUUAGAAAUCAACGUAUAAAUCGUAUUUUUUUGAAAGUAGUUUGGCAAUAACAAUUGAAAUUCAAGUGUAUAAACAUUGGAAAUGAUGUAACUUGCUGCUGGGAUUUUAUCUAUUCCAAGUCUCAAAUUUACAAUGAAGUAUGUUAUACAUUGAGUAUAACAAUAAUUGGAGCAUCUGAAAUAUACAUCAAUAAAAGAUCAUAGUGGUUGCAGCUUAAUCAUCAUAUGAAUAUAAGUUAAACACUGGAACAUGUUCUGGUACAAAAGGGUGUUUUAUAUGGAUAUUUAAAACUAUGCCAUCUUUUAAACAAACAUCAAGUAAUUGUAUGUUUAUAGGGGUGUGACCAUAUGCCUCUUGAAGUUCUGAUUGGAAAUGUUAAUCAUUACUGUUCUUGAAGAAUGUAAUUAUUCUGACAUGAUUAUAAAGAUAAAUGAUGGUAACUCAUCAGUGUUAUUGUAAUGGUGAUUAUUUUAGCAUACUCAAAAUUUUUGUACUGUGUAAGUUGAAUAGUAAAACUUUGUUUAUUAUUUGUGUAUUGCUGCAUGACAAUCUGAAAUAAAUAUGAGUUGUUGGAUAGAAAGGUGUCUGGAAGAAUAGAUGGCAAAAAUUUAACAUUACUGUGUAGAGAGAGGAAUGAAGGACUGCUUCUACUUCCUGCAUUUUGAAUUGUAAAGGUAUUUCAAAAGGAACAUUUAAACACAAAAAGGGGAUUUUAAAGAUAUAUCCAAUUUGUGCCUGUCUUCAUCCAUGCCUGUUAACAUCUUGGGAGUACUGGGCUGUUGGGUCCAAUUUUAUAUUCCCAGUGGCCAUCAUGAAUCGUUUGUGAAUGAUCAUGAAGAGCAUGUGGUUUAGAGACUCUAGUGCAUCAAAGAGUUUUACACACUGAAACAGCAUUGUGGGCCUCAAGGAAAGAAUGUGAGAGAAGAUGGGAUUUGAGAUGAGAAAGGAGGAGAUUUGCAGAUAAUCAGAGGCAACUGACAUUCCUCAUUUGGUCUUUCUUAAUUCAGAAGUUUUAACAGAACCACAGGAUUGCAAACCGGUGAAGCCACUAUGGAAAACAGUAUGGAGGCUCUUGAAAAAGUUAAUAACAUGACCCAGCAAUUGUAAUCAUGAGGAGGUGAUAGUUCCAAGAAAACACACUUUGUAUUUUUGCCAUCUUUGUAAUUGCAAGAACUGGUACCACCAGACCACUGUUGGCAAUAUUACUUAUUUAAGUAUUCUUCACCUCCCAUCUCUGGUUUCAGGAAUACCAAAUGACAAAUGAUUGUAAGGACAGGUGAUGACCAAAUAGGAAACUGAUAUUGCAUCUGCCACCUUCUUCAAAUCCAAAAGAUGGUCUUCAUAAUGUAUGGAGACUCCUCAUUCAUGUGUUGGAGUAGACAUUCCUUGCAGAUCAGAAAAACUGGACUGAGAAAGCUCAUGUUUGAGAAUUACCUAAAGAUUAUCAUUGGAGGGAAUUGUAACCAGGCAUGUUGACUGUUUUCAUUAUUGGCAUUGGACUAAAUCUCGGGAGCUUGAAUGAUGGAGAUGCUAUUACACACAGAGGCUCAGGAUGGUGUGAUUGCAAGGCUUCAUUUCAGUGUUCCCAUAAGUAUUAAGUGCAUAUAUGUGUUCGUUUCUCUUUUCACUGGGUACAUUUAAAAUUAAUCAGAAAAAAAUUAUCUUUUUCUAGAUUUGAAAAUACAAAAAGUUGUAAAGGGUGGUAUUUUUACUUCUUAAAUGCUUUUUCCCCUCCUAAUUCUACUCCCCAACAUUUAGUGUUAUGGAGUUUUGUGCAUAUCCUUUUGGGGUAUAUUGAUAAAUUGAUAUGGUAAUAGUUGUUUGGGCCCAUACAUUAGCUACCAAUUAUCUAUUCAUUGAACAUACUUAUAUAUAAUCUAUUUUUAUUUCUCCAGCUAAGUUGUUGACAUAGUCCUACUACUUCAAUUUCAUUGGAAUUAAGCAUAUCCCAAUAUUUAUAUUUUGAGUCAGAAGUAGAGAUUUCCCCAAAAUUGUAUAGAUUAUCCUCAUCAGUCUUGUCUUCCAGUGUUUGUUUAUGAGACUUUUUUCUAAAACUGUACAAACAUUGGAUGUCAGUGUUUUAUUUUUUGAUAGUGUGAUACUACAAAUAAAUAAUUUUUCUUCAAUUAUUGUUCAGUCAUCUUUAUAUGUCCUUAAACUGUAAUAGUCAUUUGUUAUUUUUUAUUCUGUGUUUUUUUCAUUUCCCUUGGAAUAUUAGUGUUUUUGUUAUUGGUUUUUAAGAGAUCAUUUAGAUCUAAGGGUUUUAACCAUUUACCAUGCAUUGCAAAUGAAAUACCAUGUUUUUUCACCAUUUUACUGUGGUACUUUACUUUUGUUGUACAGAAGUUGUAAAUUGAAAUAAUUUUGCACGUCA